CCGUUUUAAAGGGGCAAUCCACAUGAUUGUCCCUACAGCGGACAGAACAAAGGCAACGGUGAUGGUGAAGGUUCGAUUCCUUACGAUAGA
rnacentral:tRNA from 1 species